UACGGAUGUGGCGGAAUUGGUAGACGCACUAGGUUUAGAUUCUAGCGAUGUAAAUCGUGAGAGUUCGAGUCUCUCCAUCCGUAA
rnacentral:tRNA from 1 species